GGCUGAAUCCCAUUUCACCACUUGGCCCUACCCCUCCGUUUUGCACGUUCACGUGUAGGAGUAGGUGUGUCCCAAUUCCCCUUAGGAUGGAGGGUUAGGGGGAAGCGGUAGGGCUAUAUACCCCUUCAAAUGGAGGUUUUCCAGAGGCACGCUCCAAACGGAGGGCUACCACAGAUUGUCCAGAAUGCACUGCAAAUCACCGGAAAUAUGGCUGCUACCAUGAAAGAAGUUCACAAAUAUUGCCUACUGACGCUGUAGCUUGUGUUUGCUGCUGCUUUGCCUGCCUAUGGAUUCAGCCUGCACGUUGUCUAAUCUCCUGUGCUUCCCUGCCAAGCGAGUACGCUCGAGAAGACAGCCCGCACCACGCCUCGCCACGCCACGCCACGCCACGCCACGCCACGCCACGCCACGACACCUUCACCCUCGUCACUCCUGGUGAUUCUACAAGACACGUCAGGACCCUGGGACCUCGCACCACCUCUCGCAUUAUUUUCACCUUGCUGUUCAUUAAAAGAAUUAUUAUUCACUGUCA